GACGAACGCUGGCGGCGUGCUUAACACAUGCAAGUCGAACGGAAAGGCCCUGCUUUUGUGGGGUGCUCGAGUGGCGAACGGGUGAGUAACACGUGAGUAACCUGCCCUUGACUUUGGGAUAACUUCAGGAAACUGGGGCUCAUACCGGAUAGGAGCUCCUGCUGCAUGGUGGGGGUUGGAAAGUUUCGGCGGUUGGGGAUGGACUCGCGGCUUAUCAGCUUGUUGGUGGGGUAGUGGCUUACCAAGGCUUUGACGGGUAGCCGGCCUGAGAGGGUGACCGGCCACAUUGGGACUGAGAUACGGCCCAGACUCCUACGGGAGGCAGCAGUGGGGAAUAUUGCACAAUGGGCGGAAGCCGGAUGCAGCAACGCCGCGUGCGGGAUGACGGCCUUCGGGUUGUAAACCGCUUUCGCCUGUGACGAAGCGUGAGUGACGGUAAUGGGUAAAGAAGCACCGGCUAACUACGUG
rnacentral:rRNA from 1 species